AUUGAACGCUGGCGGCAGGCCUAACACAUGCAAGUCGAACGGUAACAGGAAACAGCUUGCUGUUUCGCUGACGAGUGGCGGACGGGUGAGUAAUGUCUGGGAAACUGCCUGAUGGAGGGGGAGAACUACUGGAAACGGUAGCUAAUACCGCAUAACGUCGCAAGACCAAAGAGGGGGACCUUCGGGCCUCUUGCCAUCGGGUGUGCCCAGAUGGGAUUAGCUAGGAGGUGGGGUAACGGCUCACCUAGGCGACGAUCCCUAGCUGGUCUGAGAGGAUGACCAGCCACACUGGAACUGAGACACGGUCCAGACUCCUACGGGAGGAAGCAGUGGGGAAUAUUGCGCAAUGGGCGCAAGCCUGAUGCAGCCAUGCCGCGUGUAUGAAGAAGGCCUUCGGGUUGUAAAGUACUUUCAGCGGGGAGGAAGGGAGUAAAGUUAAUACCUUUACUCAUUGACGUUACCCGCAGAAGAAGCACCGGCUAACUCCGUG
rnacentral:rRNA from 1 species